rnacentral:rRNA from 1 species
AGUGGCGGACGGGUGAGUAACGCGUGAGAAUCUGCCUUCAGGAUGGGGACAACAGUUGGAAACGACUGCUAAUACCCAAUAUGCCUACGGGUGAAACUUAUUUGGCCUGAAGAUGAGCUCGCGUCUGAUUAGCUAGUUGGUGGUGUAAGAGACUACCAAGGCGACGAUCAGUAGCUGGGCUGAGAGGAUGAGCAGCCACACUGGGACUGAGACACGGCCCAGACUCCUACGGGAGGCAGCAGUGGGGAAUUUUCCGCAAUGGGCGAAAGCCUGACGGAGCAAUACCGCGUGAGGGAGGAAGGUUUUUGGAUUGUAAACCUCUUUUCUCAGGGAAGAAUUUUGACGGUACCUGAGGAAUAAGCACCGGCUAACUCCGUGCCAGCAGCCGCGGUAAUACGGAGGGUGCAAGCGU